GGGCUUGACAUCCCACGAACCUGCUAGAGAUAGCGGGGUGCCCUUCGGGGAACUUGGUGACAGGUGCUGCAUGGCUGUCGUCAGCUCGUGUCGUGAGAUGUUGGGUUAAGUCCCGCAACGAGCGCAACCCUUGUCCUUGGUUGCCAGCAUUAGGUUGGGCACUUUAAGGAGACUGCCGGUGUCAAACCGGAGGAAGGUGGGGAUGACGUCAAGUCCUCAUGGCCUUUAUGUCCAGGGCUACACACGUGCUACAAUGGCCGGUACAGAGGGCUGCGAAGGCGCGAGCCGGAGCCAAUCCCACAAAGCCGGUCUCAGUUCGGAUUGCAGUCUGCAACUCGACUGCAUGAAGGUGGAAUCGCUAGUAAUCGCGGAUCAGCACGCCGCGGUGAAUACGUUCCCGGGCCUUGUACACACCGCCCGUCACAUCACGAAAGUCGGCUGUACUCGAAGUCGCUGAG
rnacentral:rRNA from 1 species